GCUCAGUGGGUGAGCGUCUGCCUUCAGCUCAGGGCCUUCACCCGGGUCUUUGGGUGAGUCCUGCACGGGGCUCCCCGCACGGAGCCUGCUUCUCCCUCUGCCUGUGUCUCUGCCUCUGUGUGUCUUUCAUGAAUAAAUAAAUCAAGUCCUUAAAAUAAAGAAACAAACCAACCAACCAGGUCCCUCCAACCCAGGCCCAUGCUGGUUCCACAUCACCUGCCUGGAGAGUAGUCAGGAGCACAGUGCAGCGAUACCGGAAAAUGCUUAAACUACCGUGGUCAGAGGGAAAGGAGGACACAGCAUGGUGUGUGAAUGAUGGACGAGAAACGAGAAAGUGAGAAUAAGAAGUCAGCACCAGGGGUGAUGACUUCACGUGAGCAGUACUGGGCAGGCAGCAGGGCAGGAAGAGAUUGGCAGGAAGAGGCUGGGGAGAGCAUUUGGACCACAGAGGAUCAAAGCCAGAAAACCCCAAAGGACGACCAGACACCGCUCCUCCCUGGAGGCCCUACUCUGGACUCUUCCAGAAGGCAAUGUGGAAACCGCCUCCUGAGAACACAGAAGUCGUCUCCUGCAACUCUCCUGCUCUCUUCAUUUGUCAAAUCUCAGCACCGGGCCUGGAAGGAAACAGCCAAAGCUCCUGGAGCUCUUCCUGUGGCUCAGGUCUUCAGGGAAAAAAGAGAAGAACCACACGGAGGGGGGAUAAGCGGUCUCCGAAGGAGGAACAUCUUCACAUCAGUGCCAAAGAGAGAGAGAAAAAAAAAAAGUGGUGCUUUCUUUUAUUUUUAAUGAAUAGACUUUUUUAGAGCAGUUUUAGGUUUACAGAAAAACUGACCAGACAGUACGGAGUUCCCACCUGCCCACAUUUCCCCCACCCGAGAUCUCUCCACUAUUUACAUCCGUAUCGGUGCAUUUGUUACAGCUGAUGCACCAGUAUCCCUACCCACCAAACUGCAGAUUGUAGUACUCAGCCUGUCGAACAUUCGAUGGAUUCUGACCAAUGCACAAUGACAUGUGUCCAUCUCACCAUGUCAUACAGAAUAGUCUCACUGCCCUAAAAAUCCUGCAUCCUCCGCCUGCCCAGCCCUCCCUCCUUCCAACCCCUGGCAACCCCUGGUCUUUCACGGUCUCCAGAGUUCUGUCUUGUCCAGAAUGUCAUGGAGGGGAACCACACAGUGUAUGGCCUUUUCAGAUUUGCUUCUUUCACUUGGGCAAGGUGCAUUUACGUCUCCUCUAUGUCUUUUUGUGAUCUGAUAGCUCAGUUCUUAUUAUCUGUGAUAAUAUUCCGUUAUCUGGAUGCAACACAGUGUAUCCAUUCAGCUGCCGAAGGACAUCUCAGUAGCUUCCAAGUUUUGGCAAUUAUGAGUAAAGCUGCUGUGAGCGUUCAUGCACAGGUUUUUGUGUGGACCUGAGCCAUCAGCUCGUUUGGAUAAGUACCAAGAAGCAGCAAUGUAUUUUUUUCGAUGGGCAAUCAUUUCGUAUUUACAGACUCUUGUGUCAUAGAACUGUGAGAUCAGAAAAAGCACCUGUGACAUAUUUGGGUAAAUAUGUGUGGAGUUAUAUGAAGAUGUUUGAGGCUACGAGAGCCAUGUUCAAGCCGGGAGAGGGGAGAAGGGAAGACGAUCCAGUGUGGGAGAGAGAGGGGAGCAGAAGGGAAGUGUGGAACACCAACAGACUUGCAGGGCGUGCUCCCCAAGGCCUGAAAUGUCAAGGGCCAGCAGAGGACGGGGCAGGUGCUGCAUCAGAAAACGGCUUGAAGUCUCAAGGACAUGGUGUUUUAACUGGGUCUUGGGAAGGGGCAGGAUUUCAGCAGGUGGACGUGCGAGCUGAAGAGCAUGCCAGGUUGUGGGAACAGCCUGAGCUGGGGUCCUGGAGAAGACAGUGCGGGGCCAUGGGGGCAUGGAUGGCUGCGAAGGGGGUACCUGGAGGGUCACCUGGAUUCGCAGACCAGAACGCCACUCUAGGCCAGGGACAGGCUGGGCCACGUGUCGGUGGGGAGCUGGUGCUCUGAAGAUCUUCUCAAGCUAAGGGGGUUCCCAGGUGGCUGGUGGCUGAAAUUUUCCACUUGUCCUCCUGUUUGCUUUCUUUCUCAAAGCCUCUUUGUUUGGGCUCCCUUGCCUGGAGGCAUGAGCCACACAGCACCCUCCUGGCCGGAAGUGAGUGGAAGUGAGUGUUGGAUCACCAGGACACACCCCUCAGUUAUUGUGGCUGUGACUCAGCCUUCACCCCACCCAGCCCUCUGCCAGCCAGAGUUUGCCCUCCCACCACCUGCCUCCACCUGCCAGAGUACUCUUCUCCGUAGGCCACUGGGUGGGACCUGGCAACUCCCUGCCCAGGGGAGAGUGGGAACGGAGGGGCCCACCAACAACGACAUGUGAUCAUCCCCACUGAGACACCAGCUGGCUGGUAGGGAUGACUGUCACCCUCACAUCACCACUCACAGUGAGGGACCGAGGAAGCCGACUGGGAAAGCUCAAGGAGCUGAGAGCACAUGGCCAGGGAGGUGCAUGGAUUCUCCCAAGGACUCGGGUUCCAGAGCCAGGCUUGGAAGUCAGGUCUAUUGAGCACCAGCUAAGUGCUGGACACUGUUGUGAGCACCACUGGGGAUGCCGAUGUGAAUGAGACAAGCCCCUGCCCUCAACGGCCGACCUGCCGGGGGCAGGGGGAUACUCCACAAAUCAGCAGGCAGGUGGAAAACUCACUCUCAGGGCCUGGGCACAGGGCACAUCCUCUCCAUGCUGCCCAGUGCCCGGGCUGGCACAUGCACACUGCUCGCCGUCUUCCCCCUGCCUUGAAAGGGCGCUUUCUCCCUUUCUAGGAGCACCAGAUCAAAGUCCUAGGGCACCUCUGAAUGCUGGGACAGUGCAGCUCACACCUUCAGCCGAGCAGAUUCCUAGAGGCUUGUGGGGGAGGGGGGAGGCCUGGCAAGCCACCUGUUCCAGCUGCCUCCUCCAUGGUGUGUCCUCUCUACCACACCGCGGGGACUGGUACUCUCCCAGGGACAGGAGGCUCACUACCUCACAAGAGGAACCAUUCCAGAACUAGGCAGUGCUAACCAAAAGGCCCUCCUAAAAAAUAUAUAUAUAUAUAUUUAUAAUUUAUAAAUAUAAAUAUAUAUAUAUAAUUUAUUUAUUCAUGGGAGACAGAGAGAGAGAGAGGCAGAUCCCAGGGCCCCGGGAUCCCACCUUGAGCCAAAGGCAGAUGCUCUACUGCUGAGCCAUCCAGGUGCCCCCGGAAAGGGCCUCCUUAAGCCAAACCAACAUCUAUCUCCUCCUUUCUUCUGCCCACCGCUCCUUGUUCUGCCCCGAGGCACCCCCAUUACAUAUCCCAUUGCCUAUGACUCCUCUUCACUUUGCACCCCCUCAAAUACUUUGUGUUACCCUUAAAUCCCUUCCUAGGAAUAAAUUUCCUCAGAUUUUAAGCCAUUCCUCAAACACGGUCUGGUCUUGCCCUGGCCUGCCGAUGCCCCCAGCACCUGCCACUCUAGCACCCUCCAAAAAUGCUUCAGCGGGUGACCGUUGAGGACACACAGGCCAGAAUGUCACCUGGGUCUCCAGUUCUGCCUCACCUCAGCCUGGGGACGGAUGGCAAAGGCCUGGGCAGGAGGAGCCGCAGGAGUGGAGGGUGAGGACAGUCACAAGUGAGCAGACACCUGAGUCUCCCUCUGGCCCGUCAUCCAGUUGUCAUUUAUGAAGGGCCUGUUACUGCCGGGCCAGUGCCAGCUGAAUGCUGGGGUAGCCCUGCUGAUGGCUUUGUGGCAGAGAAAGGGGGAAAAAAAUUAGUAAACACCUUAUUCAGAUAAUUCCAGAUAGUGAUAAAUGCUUUGAAACAGACAGACAGAAGGUGAUAAAAGAUUUUGGCUCAUUAGAAAAGGAUGGUCAGGAAAGCUUCUCAAAGAGGAAAGGGCUAGACUGUUCCAAACAGCAGUAAGAUGGAGCCAGCCCACAAUGAGCAAGGAGAAAAGAAUUCCAAGUAGAGGGGACUGUCAGUGCAAAGGCCCUGAGGCAGGGAUGAGCGGGGCACACUCAGAGGCUCGUGGUUCCAGCAAAAUGAGCAGGUGCAGAAGGGAGAGGGCUGUGGGAGAGGAGGUCAGAGAGGUGGGGAGCUCGAGUUUAUUCUAAGAUCCAGGGGCAGUUCCUUUGGAGGGCAUCAAGCCUCAGAUAUGAUCUGACUUAUCUUUAAAUUUUAAGAGAAUGGAGAGACCAGCGUAGACAAGGGCAGUCAGUAAAGGCUUCACAGAAGAGUCAAUGAAACCUUCUACCACAGGACCAAGGGUAAGUCUCCAUCUCCUACCAGCAGUGAAAAAUGCAUCCCUUUAAUAUGGUUUCUCUCAAGAAGACAAGUGCAUGCUCCCCAAGCACGGGAAAUGAGGCUCGUCAUCAUUAAGUCAUCGGGGAAAUACAAAUCAAAGCCACAGUGAAAAGAAAAAAAAAAAAAAAAAAAAA